rnacentral:lncRNA from 1 species
GUCGAUAGGUCUGCUAGCAACAGCCGUGCUGCAGCAGAGAGAGAGAGAGAAAUCAAGAAACAAGUCAUAGCAACACCGGGCACCAGGUUCUGCCAGCUCACUUGCUGAGCGUUCAGAGAUCUGUCAGGGCCAGAGGCCUCUGGGUAGCCUAGGCUAGGAGAUGACACGCAAGGUGGCACGGGCGGUUCCCGUGGGGAGGAGGUGGGGUGGUGGUGGGGGGCAGGGGUGGGAGCAAGAGGUUGUGGGGCGACGGUGGAGGGUUUGAUGGGACCAAAUUCUGGAACAUUCGGGACUGCGGCACCUUACGGCGGGACCAAGAUUUGGGUCUGCGCAGGCGGCGAUGGGUGGUCCGACGGGCUUCAGGACUUGAUGGCGUAACCCCCUUCUUCCCCCACGUAUGUAUUUGCUGGGAUCAGGGGCGCUGUCUCUGUGUAUGUGGGUGCUCUGUCUUUCUCACCUUCUUUCUCGAUUUUUGCUAUUUAUUUCUCUGAGGGAGGGUUUUUUCCCACUUUAAUUUCUUUUCCCUAGUGUCAGCUGCUCAAGCCUGACCAGGGUAGAGGUGAGAGGAGUGAACCAUCCCCUGCUUCCCACCUGACCUCCCAGCUUUUACCCUAUUUCCUUCUAGUGGACAGACAGACUGGUUCUCCAAGUUGUUUGGGUGUCAGCGUCCAUCUGUCUGUCCGUGCAGGUCUUAUGUGGAAGGUAAGGGAGUGAGAAGUGCCGAAAGGAAGACAGAGGGACAGUUUUUUCCCAGGGGUUGCCUUAUUGAAAGGUCUGGCCCUGGGAUUCUGAGGCUGGUGGGGAGCCGAGUGGCCAGGGUGGGGUGUGGGCUGGGAGAAGUGGGGUAAAGCUGGUAGGUUUGUCACUGCGUAGUUGGGAAAAGUGGGGAAUGGUGACGCAGUCACUGUUGCAUCUGGUUAGGAGCUCUAUGGGGACAGGUAGUGAGGCUCCUGGGGUCUCUGUGGCCAGCUGAGAGGGGUUAAGGAUGAGCUAAGAAGGGAAGCUAGCAUUUAGAGAUUAAAUGUCAUCCUUUUGGCGUUGGAAAGUUGUUUACCUUGCGCUCUCUGUGUCUCCAUGUUGGCUCCCUUCCAGUUCACAUGUGAUGGCCUUCCCUGUACUGCUGCAUCAUUAACUAAGUGACUGAGCUGGCCUUCCAUUGGCCAGGGGAGGGCUCUCCCUCCAGACACUUCCUCUGAUUGGUGGGUGGGCCAAUGGCAGGUGAAAAGCUUUUUUUGAUUGGCUCAGGGCAGGGUAUCAAAUCUGAAUUUGCAUUUCACUUGCUUAAAGGGGAGCGGGGAGAAGCCCAGCAGCUUUCUAAAAUCUCUUUAGGGGUGUGCGUAGGCUCCUGUGUCUAUGCCUGCUUUUGACUGCCCAGUUGAAGCCUCUUCCUAUGCCUUUUAAAAUUUCACGCACUAUAAGGAGGAAGAGCUCAGGGCUCCCAAAACUUUUUAUUUAGAGGGAAGAAUGCUAGGGAGAUGGGUAUGCAGAGGGUUGACCAAAUUGGAAGAAAAUAUUUAUUCUGUAGUUUGGUGUUGGAAAAGGGAAUUUUCCAAUCAGCCACACCUCAGUGUUGCGGCAAAAUAAUUCUUGGCUCCCCUGGAAACGCAUGGGCAAGGUAGGGCAGAGCUGCUGCUGCUGAUACUGCCACCACCCUGGGCUUCCUGCUGACUCUGGGCUACUCCCUGGGGACAACAGAUUUGCAUUGACGUCCGGGGCUGUCCAGAGGCCCUCAAGAGCCAGUUGUGAGCUGAGCCCAGUAUGGGAAAGAUCUACCUUCUGGAAGCUACUACUACGUGGUGCUUGGAAAGGUGAGGAUGGGGGACUGACCCCAGGAAAUUGCUCGAAACUCCGCAUCUGGUGGGAUUUCCAGAAAAGUCAGUGGGAGACGGGAGGUUUGGAGGCCCCGGGUUAGAAAGGUUUGUCAGUCUAGGGAAUGAGGAGAAUCAGAAUAAAACUAGGGCAGCAGGCUGUCCGCCUUUGGUUGGGGGAGGGAGGCCUCGAAAAAUCAGGGUCCCGGCUCUCUAACCUGUCUUUGUCGCAGGUCUCACGUUUGUGGGGAGGGGGUUUACCAAGCCCUGCGCCAUGCGCAGUGGCCCCCACCCGUGACUGCGCAUCUGGAAGCGCAGUGCGCCCUGGGUCUCUGGCCUAGGACGAGCACCGCCCUUCUUAUUACAUAACUGAGGGCAUGGCACGCGCCUUCUCGGCCCUUCCUUGCAACCCUACCUUCUUGCUCCCCAGGGCCCAUAGAGCUGGGGAGGGUCUGACUGGGUAGCAGUGAAGGACUGCAAUCCCUGGGAGGGCUAACUCUUGUCUAGUUACUGGCAGGAGCCAAGCUUGAGGACAAAAGUGGUGGUUUUCUAGCCUCAUCUUGGGGAAGAGGCUACAGAACAUCCUUCUGAGUGCCCCAUACCACCUAUGGCCCCUAGGGCCUCUCUGGUGGAGGGGGUGGCACCCUUCUUUCACUCAUGUCCCAUCUGAUUUUUGAGAGGAUGUUUCUGAAGGAAAAGAUGUGAUGAUUAUCGGGGGCUUGGUUGGGAGGUAGUUUUGACAGUUUACUCCCCUUGUCACUGGCUUCCCCUCUUUUCCCUGGGUGGGUUUAUGAUCUUUCUGGACUCCUCUGAUGAGCUGCCAUUUUGGAGCCAUUUCUGCUGGUCUCCGACAUGGUGGCGUUGGUUUUUCUGUCCUGCUGUGCCAGUUCCGCAGAGUGGGCGGGGGGCGGGGGCUAUGACGGAGGAGGGGAAGGGGGGGCAAAAGCACAGCAGAGGCAGGCACAGUGGUGGCUGCCGCAAUGAAGGUGGCUCUAGGGGCAGAGCCGCCUAGUCCCACCCUUGGACACAGUCCUGGGUGGGGAUUCAGGUGGAAGGCGUCUGGGUAGGGGUUCAACACCUGGGCCCGGCUUUGCCAGAGCGUGGGUUUCCCAUGUCCUCAUCAGCCUGGUGCUUGGAGUAGUUCGGAAAAGCUGAGUGUCUGAAUGAGAGUGGAGGCAGAGGCUCGGCAGCUCAUCUCAGACGUGUCAGACCCGUGGUUUGUGUUCCCCAAAUAGGCUCUGUCUCCAGCAGCCUCCCUGUGGGGACAGGGAAGUGAGGUCCAUGGCAGCUUUGAGGAUCUGUUCGGAUGGUCCUGCCUGCUUACUGUUUUUCUUCUCUUUCUCCUCCAUGCCCCCUGCCAGUGCCAUGGUUCCAGCUGUAGUCCUCUUGUGAGGCUCCCCGCUGCCCGUUCCCCCUCUCUCCAGGCCCUUCUGCGUGCAGCGGCCAUCUUGUCUUUCUUGCUCAGAAACUUAAAAUGGUUUCUCAUAAUUCCCAGAGUAAAAUUCCUUCCCUUUAGCGUGAUGCUCAAUGCUGGCCGUAACUGGCCUUAGGUUUCCUGUACAGUCUUACCUCUCUCAGUUUCUUUUGGUGGACCAUAGGUUCCAACAAAACCAGGCAACUUCCUUUUCCUAUCUGUUUUCACCAGUGAUGUUUUCCAUGCCUCUUCUCCUCUGCAUCCACCUGUGGCAGUCUCACUUUCUCCGUGGACCUCUCCUGAUUUCCUUGGCAAGAAGCAGUUCUCAUAACCACCCCUGCCCUUUCAGCCAAACUUCCAUACAGUCUGUCCCUUUUUAUGGUACUUUUGUUGUGUUAUGAUUAUUUGUGUAUAAGUCUUAUGUCACCUAUCAGAUUGGGAGCUCCAGGAGGGAGGCUAGAGAAAGGAGAAGGAAAACAAAUACCUAUUUGGUGCCUUCUGUUUGACAGAUACCAUGUUAUACACUUUCCCUGCAGUUACUUCAUUUACUCCUUUCCACAGCCCUGUGGGGAGCAUCCCAUGUCUAGUAAGUGGCCUGGUCAUGACUAGAGCCCUGGUCUUCCAAAGCCUUUACAUUUUUCCUCUCUGAAUUACUGGUGUUUACAAGAUGGCUGUUAUGAAGUAGAUCCCCAAAAUUUGUCUAUUUAAGGAAUUUUGUAAGUCCCUAAUGCUCUGAGGGAGUUUGGGUGGUCAAUCUUGUGUCCAUGGUCUGGGUCCCUCAGCUGUUCCUUGACACUGUCAUUAACUUUCUCCUCUUCCUUUGUGGUCAGGUUCACUCAAGAUGAUGGCUUUUUUCUUGUAGCUGAAAUUGAUGGAUUAACUGACUCAGUUAUCCUGGUUGCCUUCCUCGUACAAGAGGAGGGAGAGGUGGAGUGGGAUACAGCAUCUUCAAAGCCAGAAUAAGCUCCAGAAUUAGAGAGCAGGGAGCAGAGACACUGGACUUGAACAGACCUAGGUUUUCAUUGUGAUCCUUCUUCUUAGCUGAGUGACUUUAGACAAGUCAUAUGAUUUAAGUUUUCAGUGAGAUGGAGCUACUACAACUGUUAUACAGAAAUGCCUAAUAUAUUGGCAGCAAAUAGGUUCCCAUCCCUACCCAGUGGUUUAUCAGGGACUUAAAAUGGGAGCAUAGCAGGGGGCUAGAGAAGAAAUGGGGGAGACAGGAGCUCCUGUGCCCUAAGUGGUAUCACAGCAGGGGCGCAGAGGAGGUAACCUAGGCGUUACGCCCUUCAAGCCUGCAAGGUGUACUGUCCCCCACCUGCCAUAAAUACCCCUUUACUUCUGCAUCAGGAACAUGCCAUGGCAUCUGAGUGGUGGGGGCUGGUGACGGCAGAGGGAGGGUCAGUGAGCUUUCCUGGGAGCCUUUUGAUGCCAGGUUAGUUUCCCUUCUUUCUGAAUCUCAGCAGUGGCUGCCUGCUUCCCUGACGCUGCUGAGUCCCACGGGAGGGGAGCUGGGCACCCUGAAGCCCCUCGUUACCAAUUCGGGGGCCGCGGAGCAGAGUGUGACGACAGCCAGUGAGUCGUCAGUCGACGGCAAUGGGGACCCUGGUGACGGCUGCUUUGUUGUUUUUUUUCCUCUUUGGAAGAUGACUCAGUGUAUCGGGAGCCGGGAGAUGGAGCUCUCAGCAGAGUGGCCAGGAUGUUCUGUCAACAUGAAAGCUACAAAAACAGCUCGGGGCUCUGAGCUGAUCCUUAGCCUGGGGUCAUUUUCAGGGAGGGCUGGACAGAGAAGGCGGCCACCGCCCGGGCAUCAGGAUGGGAGCGACACCAGAGGACUCAGGAGAGUGCAGCUUGCUCUGUGAGUGGGUGACAACCUCUUGGCGACUCAGGCUCAGCUGAGGAUGGUGCCAGUGUGCCGGAGACAGCCGUCAUACUGCCGGAUAGAGUGGCUCACUUGCAUGUAUUUGGAACAAAAAAAGGAGAUGCCUGGCAGCCCCGCUCUCUGCAGUAAGUAUUCAUCUGCAUUCUUUUACAUUCCUUUAUUUCUUCGAACAUCAGAAAUGGGUAGAUGUUUAUUGAGCCCAGCCACCUGCUAUGCCUUCUCCAUUCUUCUCCCACACACCCCACCCUUAGUCCUCCAGAAGAGAGGACUAGAUUGAUUUUCUCAUGCUACUGGAUAGCUGCAGAGAAGCUAGAAUUUGCUGUUCAGCCCCCACACAUCCCCCUCACAUUUGGGAGAAGUUGAUUUUCCCUAAAAUGGAGCCAACAGCCUGUGUCCCUCAGUGUGGAGUGUUAAUGGGCUGCCUGGAAGGACCCUGUGUGCCCUCACGGCCCCCAGCCGGGAAGUGAGGCUCCCCAUUGGCUGGCAGUGGGAGGAUGGUCCUUGCCAGCACCUAGCAUGGUUCUCUGCCAAGUUCUAGCUCCACAUCUCCAGGCUGGUAGGAACCUAGACUAUAUAUAGCAUUGUGCUAAGCAAUUCUUAUCAGACGUGUCUGCCCUCCCCUGUGGGAGUGGAGCACUUCUAUCAGAGAACCAGAACCUAGAGAGCAUGAGCCAUCUCCAAGGGCCUUUUAUUCUGGGAAGGGGUGUGUGUGUGUGUGUGUGUGUGUGUGUGUGUGUGUGUGUGUGUGUCUGUCUGUCUGGUUCAGGGCUGCUUACUUUCCUCCUGUAUUGCAGAUGCUGAUAGAUUGAAAGGUCGUGCUAGAUGAAGGUGCUGAUGUGGGAUGAGGGCCAGGAAGGGCUAAUAGCUCUGCGAUGGAUAUUGAGCUUAGAGGGAGAGAAGCUAGGGGCAUGUGACAUGGCUGAGGGUACAGUUGAGCCCUGCCUCCGCUUUCUCUUCCUGGUUUCCUGUUUGCCAUGCUUUGCCUAAGGAUGUCUUUUGACCUCUCUCUUCCUUCUUUCGGACCUCUUGCAUUCCCUGCCUUCCUCCACCACUUCCUCCUCCCUUUGAUUUUCUUUAGGAUAUAUGAGGGCAAACACAGUGACUGGCAUCCUGGGUCUGUGUCUACUCUUCAUCCUUACCCAUUUGGGGUUUCUGGAGAUCUGGCUCCAGUUGGGCAGAGAGGGCUCAGCUGUCCUCUGGAGGAGUUUUGGUGGUGGGUGAGCAUGUUGUGUUGGCUGGUUCAGGGCAGGGUGGGUUGGAUAUUCCCCUCUUUCCUCUCAUAGGUGCUGUUGAGCCACCAAUUUUUGUGGUUUUGUGACCACAAGUGCUGACUGAUGCGACAUGACCCCAGUCUUGUCAGUGAAUCAUCACCAGGCUGCUUACUGGAAACUGGAUGCAGCAAGGAAAUAGGAUUUAACCGCUCUCUGCCUCCCAGGUAAGUCCAGUGUGGGCUGCUCCCUCCAGCCUUCCCCCAUCCUCCUUCCUUCCCACGAACACCAUUUUCCUUAUUCCGCCGGGGAAUCCUCAGACGUCUCCAUUCAGAAUCUCCCAAACGAUUGUUCUCUUUUUUGCAUUCUUCUCCUUCUGGCUUUUCUGUGUGGGGUUAGUAACCAGCACAGGGUUGGGGGCAGAAUGGGCAGCUGAAGUGGUCGGGCUGUGCGGACGUGUGGGAGAUAGCUGGGUAGUGUUGCUGGGUGUGGCAGUUGGCAGAGCAUUUGGGCCUCCCACAGUAAUAGAAACUCUCUUUGGCUCCAGCAUCCAGCAGGAGGUUCUGGGUUUAACCCCUCGGUAAUCCUGGGAGCCUUCCUGGUGCCUGGGGAUUCUCUCCCCUGUGUAGUCUCAGUGGAUGGCCUGUCUUAACUCUAGAUACAUUUUGCCUUGAGGGGGCUUAGUCUAGGUUGGUGGUCUGGAGUUUGGACUGGGCUGAGCAGUGAGCUUUGGGACUCUCCCUAAUUUUGGGGUUUCUUUGAAUGAGCCACUUUCUUCCUCUAGGCCUUCAUUACCUUUGCCUUAAAAAACAAAAUCCCUGGUCCAGUAAGCCAUUGCAAAGCAUCUCUAGGAAGUUGACAAAGAAAUGCUUUUCUUCUGCCUCACUUGCUGCCGAUCACAGUAAUAGCAAUGGUGAUUAAAAAUGAAAAAUGAUGACGGCCUGCAGAAUCAGGGAGGUCAGUGGCAUCAUUGAUACAAUUCACAAAGCAGACUCUCGGUGCCCACACAUCACUAGGAAGUCUCUCUCCUAUCGAGUAGAUGACUACAGCAUUCUUGGCCAGUAAAGCCAGUUGGAAUUAGCCAACAGCAGAUUGGUCUGGGCUCUAAAGAUAAAAGGAAUUAUGUUGGGUAAUUUUCGGAGGUACCUAUGGGAUCCUACCUCUGGCCACACAGUGGUCGCCUCUCUCUGCUCAUAUGUUUCGGUGGGGGUGGGGGGUUCCUCUUCCCCAUGCUGCUCCCGUUGCUAUCCAGGGAAGAUUGGCCAAUUCUGCUUCCUGUUAUUUCUUCUUCUCCUCUGUCCAUUUGAGGUGAGUCUCUAGGUUGGCUGUGAACAGCCUGAGGAACCCAGGGCUGUUUGGAAGAAUCUGAUGUCUCUUCCUUCAAGGACCCUGACAGGUCUCAGCCCUCCAGCAGUACUGCAGUGAGGGAUGGCAGGGGGUGUUGGAGUGGAGAGAUAUCGACUUGGGUGCAGCUGGGGAGACUAAAAGGAGUGAGCCAAGUCCCUCAAGAAGUGUUGGCUAGAGUCUGGCCAGCCCUGGCUGUAGGGCUGGAGCCAGACGUAGCUGCUGGCUGUGCUUGGGAGUCUCAGCCCUCAUAUGUGCAGUGUGUCCCUGGGCAUGGCUCUUCGUGAUCCCCACUCCCACGAAUAGCCCUGUCCUUGGUUAGAUUGGGAAAACCAGGGUGGGAAGUAAAGGGGAGGUUGGUUUUGCUCGUGGUCAUGCAGUUAUCUCUCUGGCCUCUGAUGUUUCCAGAAUUGGGAUUGGUGCUUCCCUGCUGAUUUUCCUAUUUUUGUCCCUCAUCUGGUUCUUUUCCUCCUUGCUCACCAGCCUGGGUUCUACACACAUGACAUGGGGCAUUGUGUGUUCCCAAUGAGGAUAGCAGAACAGUUGGUAUCUCCUGAGAGAGGGGCCAGCAUAUCUGGCACUUUUUUCUUGACCUUUGAAUUUCUGAGGUCUGGGAGUCAGGAGGCAGCAUGGGGCCUCUCCAUCCGGGAUCCAGCAGAGGUUAACAGAGUUGGUGGCUCUGGAGCUGAGGUGGUGUGGCUUGGCUGGGAGUUGUGGGGGAGAGGCCCUGCCAGGGGCCCUGAUUGGUCAGUACCUUCUCUAUUCCAUUGAAUCCUGGUCCGGUCAGCUCUGUGAAUUGUUUAAUGCAUAUCUUGGCUCUGUCCCCUGGCUCGAGUGUCCCUAAGGCUGCAGCCACAGCUUUAGAGAGGAUCUGUACCUUGUGCUGGUCACUUUUUUUGGGCGUGUUACCUCCCUCUGAGAUAUGUAAGAGAUACCACCCUUUCCCACCAGCCGGCUGUCUGUGGGAGGCCCUCAUUUUGCUUUGCUUUUCUGAGACUUGGAGUGACUGUGAGGAAAGCAUGGACUGAGUUUGCUUUCUUGCUGGUUCCUUCCACAAGAGCUGCUCAUGGGCUGAUAAAGCCAGAGAACACCUCCAGGGCCCCAUGGCCUGUGCGGAGCCUGGUACCAUAGUGUCAAGCCUACAGGGAUGGACUGGGGACAUGGGGGCAGAUAGAGCCACGUGGGGAGGUGGUAUGUGUGGUUAGAUCACAGGAGCAAGUCCAGGAGGGUGUGGGAGGACAAGUCCAGUGCUCAGCCAGGGCUGCCUGUCAUGGCCCAGGAUGGAUGUGUGCAUCUCCUGUGAAGGAUUUGCGUCUGAGUGCCUGGUACUGAAGGUAGGAUGGUGCCCCGAUCAGGGUCUAUAAUGAGGCAUGAAGGUAUGAGAUGGGCAUCAGAGUUGUUGGUCCAAGGGAAACUGACCUUUUUAAAGGGCUCUCCUCUCCUUAUCUGAUUUCAUCCUCAGAACAACCAUAUGACAUAGGGAUCACUUCCCUUUUAUAGUUAAAGAAACAGAUUAAGUGACUUAACCCAAGGUUAUGCAUUUGGUAAGUGAGGUUGUUGAGAUUUAAAUGCAUGCACUUCUUAUUCCAAAGCCUCUACGUUAUCUUUACUCUUUUGGGCUGAAGUCAGACAUUUUUGUGAACUAAGAUUCUCAGAGGACUGAUGUGAACCAGAGUGAAAAGGCAGACACCCGAAGGAACUUUCCAGUCACUGGGGACGGUUGUGCCGCAUUCCUUUAGGGGGAGGCAGGGCAGACCCAAAUGCCCUUUGGUAGCCAUGGACAGGCAGAGCUGAGUAAGGCCAGUACAUGGCGUCUGCUGCUGUGUACGGAGCCUCUGCUAUGUGCCAGGGACUGUGCCAGGCGCUAGAGAUACAGAACUUGACAAAGCCAACUUUCCACUUUCAUGGGGCAUACAUUCUAGUGUGGAGAGACACCGCUAAUAAUGAUUUUUAAAAAGAAUUUAAAAAUGUACAGGGUAGACAUAUAUGGAGAUUGUGUGGGGAUGAAAAGGGGGACCCCCCACACACAUAAGGAGGAGAAUUCAGAUGAUGGUCAGAGGGUUCUAGAGACUUAGGACCUCAGCCAUCUGAAGCCACAUCAAUUGAGCUUUCCUUCAGGGAGUUAGGACUGACACAAACUAACCCCCUCUUUUUUCCUAAUAACUUGGGAAAUCCAUCCAAGGUCCCCAUGGCUUACAGGAACUUGUCGUGAGUCAGGGAUCAAGGUGGAGUAGAUGUCAAGCCUUUGGUCUCCGGCAGACUGGUUCUCUCCUGUCUGCCAUGGUUGCUGUUGGCCUUCUGCCUCACACCCUCCCAGGCACCAGCUGACUUCUUUCCUCAGCCUGGUCACUGUGCCCCACACUUGUCCAUGCAGCACAGGGAAACGUGCAGGUUAGGUCUUUGCCGAGCCAUUGGUCAAAUGUUCCUGCAGGAGGCUGGUUCUGAACUCAGCCUGUCCUGCCAGAACGAGCCGUUCCCAGAGCUAAUCGUCUCACGAUAGGGAAGGGAUGGGCACCAGGCAUAGAGAAGUGACCUGUGCCAGAUGCUUGGUUGAGCUGUGUCUUGAGAGGCGGAGGCAGGUUGGUGGUGCUGGGGACAGGGCAGGCAUGUGUCAUGUGUUCAGCGCAUGUAGCUCCAGGGCUCGGGACUUGUUUACUUGGUGGAAGAGGCAGCGGACCUGCGGAGUCAGGCCAUGUGAUUGUUGGCUCUUUGGCUGAUCAUGGACAGCUGACCCGCCGGACUGCACACACUGCCAUCUGCUGCCAGGGGUCUGAAGUUGCACAGGGAUGAGGUAGUGUAGUUGGGGGUGCUCAGGGAGGAGGAGGGUCAGGAAAGUGGGGUUUGUGUUGCUCUGUGUUGAGUCAGCCGACCCUGAUUCUGGUCCUAGCUCUUGUUGGUAAAAACUCACUCACUUUCCUCCUUUCAGCUCCAGUUUCAUUAUCUAUGAAAUGAGGGGAUGGAACCAGAAUCUCUUUGGAGGUUCCAGCUGUAUCCUGGGGCCUCCCUGAAUGUUCAUGGAGAUGUUCCUUAGCCAGUAAUUCAAGAUGAGGAAAACUAGGCCCAGGUUUCCACAAGAGAAGGGGAGGGAUCUUGAUGACCUGUCUCAGAGCGGCUGAAGUGGUACUGUUGGAAUUAGGGUGGGUGGGUGGGAGGAGGUAGUUUUUAAAGACCUCCCAGAAGUGGAAGCAGAGGGCUGGAGGUUUCGUGAAGGUGUUGAUGAGGAUCCACCGGGUGGUAGGGGACAUGGCUACGCGCUUCCCCCGGGAGGCUUGUUGGAGAUGGGUUUAUGUGGGAGCUGCUGGGGGUGCCUGCUGUCCUGCAAGGGGCUGACCCAAGGGACCCUGCUCUAGGAAAGAUGCUCCGUCCUGUCUGGCCCUAAACCCUGGAGAGAGAAUGCAGCUGUGGUUUGAGGGAGGGUCUGUGCCCCUUGCUGUCAGGAAGUUUUCCUUUAUAUUUAGCCUUCUCUUUUCAUGUAUUUUUUGAGGCCCUCGACUAAAAAAUUAAAUUUAAUUUUAAAAAAUAACAAUGAAAAAAAUAAAAAAUAAACAAAAAUAUCUCAGAGCCACUGGUUCCAUUUUGGCUUUUUAGUCUUGAGUCACUCUUAAAAAGAUAGCAAAAUAAAACACAUGCAGGAAAGCCGAAGGUCCCAGGCCCAGCCAGAUGGGGGCUAGGAGUGGCUGGGACUCUGGCCUAGCUUCUCCAUGGCAGCGUUAGUCCCAGACGUACACCACUUCUGCAAGGCUGUGUGGGUAGGAGCCCCUGGGGCUGAGGGGGCACAUUGUGCAAUCUGCUAAGCAGAAUGUAGAGUUUUAAAAUAGCUACCUUUCUCCAAGACACUAUCUGCUUGCCGCUUUGUGGGAUGUUUACCUGGGAUUAAUAAUAGCUGAGUGCCACCCCACUGCCAGUAUGGAAUAGCAAACAGCGAUCUGGGCUAGGACUCAGGCAGGAGAGGAAUGGAGUAAUAACCAUCGUAUCAGCUCACAUAGUUCUUUUCAUACUUGCUGGCUCAUUUGGUCCUCACACAACCCUGAGAGGGUAGGUGGUCUUAUCCUUGUCGUUGGUAAAACUGAACCUGAGAGUCAAUCCUGCCAAGAUCUGACUGCUUGUAGCCGCUUCUCGUGGGUCUCCCAUCUAGGUCCUCUGACUUCAGCUGUUAUUUCUCUGGGUUCUGACUAGUGGGGCAGGGACAGGAGUAGGGGAGUGGAGUCUUUGGCAGUUUCCUUAAUUUCUGAAGGCCUUAGAGGGCCUAGAGAUGCCUUUUCUAUGUGUUGAAUGGGAAACGGAACCUCAGCAUGUCCAGGUUCUCCAACUCUCUGAUUCUUCAGACUUCUUGGAGCUCUUGUGAGAACUGGCUUGCACUUUUUGGCUGGGAAGCCAGCCACUCACCAUGUGUUCUUGGAGAGGUUUCCUGUAUUUGGAAGCUUCUGGAAUAUGUGAUGCAUCAAACCACUGUGACACAUCUGUAUGGCACCUCAUGCCUAUGCACACAGGCAUGCUUCUGCUGAGUGCAGCUCACUUAGAGAUGAGGCCCAGUGUAGGGUUUUUGAAAUUUUUCCAACACAUUUGUAAGAGAUGCCCUGAGCCUUGCCCAGCAUGCAUGUUGUGUGUAUGCUACCUGUUUGCUGGCUAAUGUACAGCGCCUGCUGGAAGCCUUGGCUAAUGUACAAUGUAAAGUAAGGGACUAGAAACACUGGCUUUAGUUCUGAGUGUCUGCUUCAUGAUUGACUUGAAAAAGUAGGGCUUACCCACAGAGAGAAAGGUGGGUAAGAGAACUCGUGGGUGUCAGUUUUCCUUAAAGGCAGAGCAUAAUCCCCCACUCUUUAUAAGGGCUGGUAAGGCAGAGUAUUGGACAGCAGGACUUCUUGGCCAGUUAGCCCUCUUGAGUGACCUUUGUUUAAAUAGACCCAGAACUUGUAUGAAGGAGGAAAUAAUGGUUUAUCUUUAUUUACAGCGGAUUUAGCCAUGAUGGUUUAGGCUUUUUCUGGGGGUAUUCCUUUAGGACAGUUGAGGUUGGACAGGGGCAGCAUGCAUAUGUGUCUCUAAAUGUCUGUCCUUUGGUAUUUCCUGAAUGCAUCCUUGGCUCAUACUGAAACCCUGUGAUGGGGAAUCCACAGCGGAAUUGUUUUAGUGGAUAAAGCCUUCUGUAGCUUCAUGUGUGAAGAUUUGUCAUGUUGGAUCCAGUUCAUUCUGUCCACUUGAAGGAUGGAAAAGAGAGUGGGCAGAACUUGCAGCAAGGAGAGUGAUUUGGGCUAGACUUCUGGGAGAACUGUGCAUCACCUCUGCUGAGGGUUCCUGAGGAAAGAUGAAGCCUCUUUAUUUGAGGUAGGAGACUCGGUGUCCUCCACAGGAUCCUCCCAGUCCCAAGUCUGUGGCACUUUGAGACAGUCCCUGGAACAGCAUGAGGUUUGGGUGCCAGGAUCUAGAGCAGGCAUUUCUCUCCAUCUUUCCCAUCUGUCUUCAAGACAGGCCCAAGCUGGAUGCAAUUGAGGGGAUGCAUGGGCAGGGUACACCAAUGUGGUCAUCGAAUCUGGAACUUUGACCUUGUUUCCCUUUGCAGAGAGAACUUCUGGCACUGAUCUUAUAGGAACUGGUGUUAUUUGCAUAUAAAAAAAGAGAAAGGCAUGUUGUCCCUCAUCUUUUCCAGGAAAGAGUGCUGAGCUGCUCUAAUCCUAUGGUGGGGAGGGAGGAGGGCCGUGUAGAGGACGCAAGGCCAGACAUGGUUUGCUGGGAAGAAGGUAGGAGGUGGGAGAGGAACAUCCCAGGGCAGGCCCACAACUCUGGGAGCCACAGACAUUGCCUGCUAUACUAAAGGCAAAGGGAUGUGUUCAAAUAGGCCUACUAUUUAGCGGUAACCCACAGUCUGAAAUAAAUCAGUUAAUGGCUAAAUGAGAGUUGUAUUAAAUAUGGAAAAUCAUAUUUUUUGUGUGUCAUCACCACCUACAGAUUUAGCAUCAACAGGCCUGAAAGGCUGAGGAUGCUGAAAUGGGCCCUGUCCGUAAGAUCAUGCUUAUUUUAUAAUGACUUUUUGUCUCUUUUCAUUACUAUUUCCCACUCUUAUUCCUUAGGUCUACGUGAAUAUUUAUUUAUGCAGUUGUGUUAUUUCCUUGGGGUACAGUUCUUCCAGUGUCAUUGGCAUCAAUGAAUAUGUGACUUUGAUUUCAAGUGUAAACAAACCACUGGUUCACGGCAGGGACAAGCCAUCUCUGAGACAAGGGCUCCAGCAGCUGCCUACAGAUGCCCUUCCCCCAAUAGCCCUGGACUGUUUCGGCCAGACGCCUGAGACGAGAGUCAAGGGUGUUCUUGCAGGGACCUGCCCAACGCUAUGUCAUGUGUCCUGCCUGGAGGGUGGUGCUCACACAUGCAUCUUCCAGCCUUAUUAGCUGGUACUGCUUUUCAGCUUGACCCGAGGAGUGGUAUUGGAAGUUUGAGACCGUACAUCCCUUGCUAGGUGAGAAGGGGGUCAGAGAGGUCAGGCACAGACAGAGAAGGGAACGCAGGCUCCUGGCCACUAGCCUCUCUCAAGACAGGUGAACUUUGUGUUAAGCGAACUCAUUUAAUAUUUUGGGCCUAAUAGAAGUUAUUUGUAUUUUCUCUCCUCUCUUUUCCCUCCUCUCUCUCACUCACCCUCCCCCCACUCCCCAGCCUCCAAAGAAUUUAAUCUGCUGGACAACAAACAAUACUGUUAUAAAACUUUGAAAACAAGAGGGCGCGGCCUCCCUGACAAGGAGAAGGGCAUGUUGGGUAACGGCCUGAGGGAGCGUGCCAGGCCUGAGAUGGAGCCGGGCGAGAGCCCAGUUGGCUGGGUACCUGGGCGCCUGCCCCUGCAUAGCCCACUAGCCGCGCCAUCCCCAGGCCAGAGGGGAAGGAACCAAAACAAAAUGGGGGGCAGAGAAACGCUUGAAAAGGGAAGUUGCACAUGUUCCCCUCUCUCUGAUCUGAUGGGAAUGCACUAGACUGUGAAACUUCCUCCUCCACCUCUUCUCCCGAGUCCCUCCCUCCCUCUUACCCUCCUUCCUCCUCUCUCCUCCCUCCUUUCUCCUCCUUCCUCCUCCUGCUACUCACUGUUCUUGAGUCUGGCAGACAGAGGUCCUGAUAGCAGAAUGAGGCUGGAAUAGCACCAUAGGUGCAGCUACCAGCUGGGCCAGCCAAAGAGGAAGGAGAGAAAGUGGGCUUGCAGUUGGCUUUGGAUUCAAAUCUACCCUCUGUCUGGCCCAGCCUCCCUCCAUUCUAUUAGGGAAGUGGAACUACAUCACGCCACAGGGUGUGCCCAGUCCAUGUGUGUGGACCAGGUGUGUGCCCAGGUACUGGGGAGAACUGCCACUCAGAGAUUAGUUCAGGAAGCACCCUGGGCUUCCUGGUGCCCCCCUUGGGCUGUGCUCUGCUCUGGGGAGAGUGUUUGACUUGUUGAAAUGCUCUCUCCUUUGAGAUGCUGUGCUCUCCCUCCAGGGAGGAGCAGAGGCUGUGCUGCAAGAGGCUGGGGCAUGUCUCUGGAGGAGCUCUUGGGAACAGGAACGUGCUUCUCCCAGCGAGAGCAGCCAUGCCGUCUUGUGAGUGUGGUGCCUGGUAGGAUACUGCAUCUGUUAGUUACUUCCCAGUGGCUGAAGGAAGUGGUCACCAGCUCUGCCUGGGGGAGGUGGGGGAGCUGGGCUUUGGGGCGUCUCCCUCCCUACCUCCAGAGUUAGGUUUCACCUGAGACUGUGGUUUCACUUUUGACUCCAUCUUCACUGAGUCAAGCAGAUGAUUUAGGAAUGACCAGGGAGCAGCAUUGGUGGUUUGCCUUUGGAUCUGCAUUGGUUUGGACCCAUGAACUCUGUGGUGGGCAUUGUGUUUGUGUAAUAGACCAUUGGUAUGCUCAUUUUUCCUCUUGCAGAAAGCACUAGCUUUCUUGAAAGCAGUUCAGGGACAUGCCCAUCCUUCUGUGCCAGAGCUGAGCCCUUCUACUGGGGGAACAUGGAGACACGCGAGCUCCAGUCUUCAUUCCACUCCUCCUCCUUCCCUUUGCCCUCCACUGUCUCCUGCUGUCCCCCCAGCUCAUCCCAGGGGCAGGGUAACCUUGGUGCAUCCUCCCAUCCAGCCAGCAGUCCCGACCCAGGGCCCCCGUGCCUGGACUGAGUCUGGGGUUUAUGUCAGUAGUGUUAAGGGAGGGAUGGAAAACUGAACUUUUAGGAGUGCAGCUGCCUAGGAACAUAGACCUCCAUACCUCUGACGCAGGGGAAACCAGAAAAACCGAUGCUGGGUCCACGUAGGCUUGGAAGGCUGUUACUUUUUGCCUUCUUACCUGAAUAGGAAUUUGAGGGGCACUGUGGGUUUGGAGGAUGUGAUUCCCACACUGGGGCUCAGGGCCUGGGAAAUGCAGUGGUCCCUGGGUUCUGAGUCCUCCUUUGAAGGCCACCCUGCCAGAAAGGAAGAGCCUGAUGGAGGUUUCUGGGGACUUUGGGCCAGCCGGUAACUCCAUGCUCCCUCUGCUCCACCCUUGGCCCCUCAUGUGUAUACCAUUCCUUUUAUCACCCUUCCCUCUGAUUCACAGCCCCCACCCUGACAGCUAAAGACAGAAUGCCCAGGCUGCUGCCUAGAAUGACAGGAAGCUGGACUGCCCUUUCAGUUUAUACAUGCAAUGGCCUGGGACUGUCUCUUGAGGGCAAGACAUUCCCCUUUUACAAAAGAGCCUUCCCCAGGCCCCUCUCUCACCAAGAUGAGCUCUUCCUUGCUGCCAGGAGCCCUGAAAUCAGCAUUCCCAGAGGAAAGAAGAUGGCCAUCUGGGCUUGGCUUCCGGCUCCCCCCAUCUGGCUGGAACACACAUCAGUCACGUAAGUAGCUGUGACUCAGCACCCAGCACUGCCUUGGCAGAACCUUCCCACGUUCUGGAUUUGCACACACUGUGGUAGCGCAGCACAAGCAAGCAGGGUUAGGUAACUGGGGACCAGUGUCUGUUUGUUCAGUGGGUUUGCCUAUGGAUUUCAGAAAGAAGGAUUCCCUCACCUUCCCAUUUUCCUCCCAUGUUAUUUUUUAGGUACCAUGCUAGGCUUUAAAGACAAAGCAUCAUUUAUAGAAUGAAGUAGAAGCUGUCUUUGCAGUCUCCAAACUAUUUUUAACCAACAGCCUAUAGAUGGUAUUUAACCCUCAGGUGUGUUUGGCCUGCACGGGUUUUUGUUUUUGUUUGAGACAGGGUUUCACUCUGUAGCCCAGGCUGGAGUGCAGUGGCACGAUAUCAGCUUGCUGCAACCUCUGCCUCCCGGGCUCGAGCAGUUCUCAUGCCUCAGCCUCCUGAGUAGCUGGGACUACAGGUGCCACCACACCUGGCUAGGGUUAUUUUAAUGUAUCUGAUUUUGCAUGCAUUUAGACAAAAUAUGGCCUCUCCAGUUCACUGUAUUUCUGCUGCAUGCUGUUGCUGCUUCUCUGUCUCAGGUUUCCUGCCCAAGCCCUCCGAGCAUUUGAAUGUGCUGUGAGCAGCCUACCUCAGCCUCCUCUCUUUACACAUGAAGACACUGAGGCCCAUUCAGGGCAAGUGGCAGGUCCCUGUUCUCAGAGUUGGGGCCAAGCAGGUAUUAAAACCAUUGUGUUCUGAUUCACUGUGUGCCCAAGCAGAUUAAUGCCCUGGUGUGAGGUCGAGAAGCCUCCAGGUAGAAUGUGGGGACAGAAGUGGACCAGGCUAGAGUAUAGCUCCCACACCUUUCCCAUGCGUGGCAGCACUCGUAAGACUGACAUGCCCACCCUUCUGGAUGGGUGGUUUUCCUCCCCAGACAGCCCUGCCAACCCUUUCACCUUCAGCCAGUUUGUUUGGAGUCAUUAGGCUGAGGUGGGUAAAACCCAUCACCCUCCUUGGAUGGCAGAGCUCUCAGCAGGCUGGGAUUUUCAUGGGCUGCCUUCUUACAGGUCUAGGUGGCCUUCAGGCAUGGUGCCAGGGAAAGCAAGCCCCUUCCAGCCCUUACCAAACUAACUGGCUGCUUCCUAGUAGGGAACAGCCACCAGCUUGUUUCAGCGAAGAGUCAUUGCUCAGCUGAUUCUGAGAGGAGAAAACUGGUUCUGUUGGGAGGGCUGAGACCUGAAGGACCCCUUUUAUCCAGUGGAAUUGGAAAGGCAAAGGAUUUCAAUACUAACAUGAUUUUUUUCUCCACUUCUUUUAGAGUGUUUAAUUAAAGUGAUGCAUUGUUAAUGGCUUCUUAUCUCUUCUUCCAGAGAGUAAAGAGUUAAAUUUUAGAAUCCAGGAGUGGGGACCCAGACUGUGGCUUCUGUUAACUCCCUCAGUGGCAGUGGCGUCCUGCUAUGCACAGCCCCUCUGCUGUACUCCGAAUGGUCCCUUACGGGUAGCAGGAGAGACAUUAAAUAAUCACACUGAUGACCAAGUGAGAUAAGUGGUUUUUGAAGGAAAGAACUUGAGGCUGGCGAGGACCACUUAACCUUCUAGCAAGGGCUGGACUCAGGGAGGCUUUCCUGAGCUGCGGGGAGGAUGACAGGUUCCCUGGAGUGGUGGUGGGUGGGGGCGGGGCUGAGGGGUGGUAGCCAAGGGAGGGUGAAGGAGAGUAUUCCAGAAGAGACAACAGCUUAGGCAGGCAGGACCUCGCCAUGGAGGAAGGUGCUUUCUGAUCACUGCGGGACACCUGUGUGAUAGCUCAUAGGGAGGGGGUACUGGUAACUAAAAGUUGAUAAGGAAGAGUGGCUAAAAUGAAAAGCAGAAAAGUGAGAAUCUCAUCAAAUCCCCUCAUUUGACAGGAUUUGGACUCCCAGUAGUAACUGUCCUUAAACACUCACUCCUGACCUUACAACCCUGGCUGUUACCUGGUUAACAAGCCCCAGGUGUUGGCUACAGGUGUCAUCACUGAGAGCCCUUGUGUGCAGAUCUGCCCCAGCUCUCCCACCUGUGACUGAGGCUAGCAAGUCCCCCGUGGGCUGUAGAGCCUAGCGCUGGUGUCAGAAUCGCUUGUUGCAGGUUCAUCUUCAGUGUCUUUCCCACAGCCACAUGCUGGGGAAAGACGGCAAAGGCGCUAGAGGAGCAGGAGAACAAAGCAAGCUGCCCCAGACCACCCGGCUUUCGCAGAACCCAGAUGAUGCUCCUGUCUCCCCCUAAGUAUAACGUGUUAUGUAGUCAGUAUGAUCCCAUUCAGUGCAGAAGUAUCGCCUAGGAAUUUCCUGCCCCACCCACCCUGUUUUGUUCUUAAUGAAGUUCAAGAACAAAAUGAGAUGAUAGUCAAGUUAUGGAGCAGGCUGCAGUGGAUACAAGGGCAGAAACACAGUCUUUGGAGUUAGACCUGGGAUCUGCAUUGAUUGGUUGUGUGACUGCAGACAAGUUAUUUAGCCUCAUUAAGGAUGAAUUUCUUCGCAAAAAUUGGAAUAAUACCUGCCCCAUACGACUGUUGUGAGAAUUAAACACCGCAACUUUUGAUGUUCAAAUUCUAUUUCUUCUCCUUCUAGCAACACAUACUGUUAGUGCCAGGAACCAUAAAAAUUAUAAGGCUGUAUCUAGAGGCCUGAAAGGAAGCUAAAAUAUACAGUGUCUACUCUGUCUCUUUUCUCUUGGUUAUGGUAUCAGAGGAAAUACACAUAUUUUCUUAGCUUCAAACCACCAAAAAAGAUGAUGCAGUAAGGAGAUGGGAAAUCUAAUUUGGAAUACAGUGUGCAAAUCUUAUUUUCAAGCAGACUUUGAAAAUAAAACUCAAUUCUUACGUUAGAGGAUUAUCUGCUUAAUACAAUUAUAGGGUACCAGUUUUUGAAGUCACAUCGGGGUUAAAUAAGAUUGCAGGUUCAUGGGGUCAUAUUUGAAUGUUCUGAUACUUACAUAUGGGGUGGGAAGGAGGAAUGCAUGCUUUUCUCAAGUUAAGACACAUAAAAGAGUUGUCCUGGCCCAGGUGAGACUCGCCUUUGUGUAGCAGCUGGAGCUUCAUUCCACAGGCAGAUAGGGUGCUUGUGUCCUGAUGAAGUAAGAGAAUAUAUCUGGAAACACUUUGUGUACUGUGAAAUACUAUACAAAUGCAGGGCAGUACAAAUGUAAAUAUUAAUGUAUUUUAGUAAUAAUUUUAGCUUUUAUUUCAUCAUAUAUAAUAAUUUGUAGUGACUGGUGUGAAGUUAAAUAGAAUUAACCUAGAAUUAAUGAGUUUUGUAUUGCUCUCAUCUAUUUGAAGCAUCAGCUGUGCCUUUCAUGUUGCCUUGUGCAGCCCUGUGUAACCUCCUCUGUGCCUUUCCCAUGGAGCACUGUGUCAUAUCACAAGUAGAACUACAAGAAGAUAUUUCUCCUCAGGGCAGAGGCUGGGUCUUCCGAUUGAAUCUCCCUUCUUUCUUCAUUGAGAUCCUCUUCUUCUGGAAGCUGGUUUCACAUGGUGGCUUAGAUUUUUCCAUCUUUGUAUCUAGCACCAUUUGAAAUCAGUGUUUUAGGAGUAAGAAUUGCAGCACAGCCAAGGGUGGACUGCAGAGGAACUGCUGCUCAUGGAACUGGCUCCUCUCCUCUUGCCACUUGAGUCUGUUCGAGAAGUCCAGGGAAGAACUUGAAGAGCAAAAUACACUCUUGAGUUUGUUGGGUUUUGGGAGAGGUGACAGUAGAGAAGGGGGUUGUGUUUAAAAUAAACACAGUGGCUUGAGCAGGGGCAGAGGUUGUGAUGCUAUUUCUGUUGACUCCUAGCAGCCAUCACCAGCAUGAAUGUGUUCGUAGGGCCUUUGAGUGUGGCGAUUGUCAUAUUCUGUUGGAUAACAAUGUAUUGGGUGUCGAUUGUCAUGGGGCAGGGGAGAGGGCAGUACACCUGGAGGACCAUUUUGUCCACAUCGACACCAUCAGUCUGCUCUUAGAGGAUGCCCUGGAGUAUUCGGCGUUGAUUGCGGGGCACCCGAAAUCAGACUUGCCACCUGGACUGUCGAGGUGCAGACCCUGGGAGCACCACUGGCCCAUCUCUUACACAGGCUGACCGAUUUCUCCUGGUGUUCAGAGUCUGUUUUUGUCUAGCACCAUUUGAAAUCGGUUAUGAUGUAGGGGGAAAAGCAGCAGCCUCGAAGCCUCAUGCCAACUCUGGGCAGCAGCAGCCUGUGGUUUCCUGGAAGAUGGAUGGGCAGAGAAUAGGGAAGGAAGAUCAUGCUUUUCCCUACUAACUUCUGUAACUGCAUGUAUGAUACAUUAUUGCAGAGGUAAGAGAUAGUUUAAUGGAUUUUUAAAAACAAAUUACUAUAAUUUAUCUGAUGUUCUCUAGUUGCAUUUUGCUGAAAUGUAGUGCUGUUCUAAAUUCUGUAAAUUGAUUGCUGUUGAAUUAUCUUUCUGUUGAGAAGAGUCUAUUCAUGCAUCCUGACCUUAAUAAAUACUAUGUUCAGUUUAUCAUGUCUGUGUUUUUCAUCUAUUAUUUCCCAUUCAUAAUUCUGUGAUGAUAAGAAGUGGGUCCUGAAAAAUUAAUUGGCUGUGCAGAUCUUGCCUACUUCAUAAAGAAUUUGAAGUAGGUUACAGCCAGCCAGACAUUAAAAAUGAAGCCCAUUAAGAGAAGAAUGAAAUUCUAUGAGCCAAGAAAUAAAAUGAGAGAAAAGAUUAGGGAAGAGAAGAAAUGUUGAAGAUCAAGGCUGAGGGAUGCUCCCUACUGAAUGGGAAAACUCCUUAGUUCCACAUGGGCUGUAGACACAGCCCUUCUGCCAGCAACUGUUCCUGCAAGGAACUGGUGCUCAACUAAACAUACUGUCACAUGGUUCCUUGAAGGGGCACAGCACUGAUUUCACUUGCAUUAUAAAAGAUUGAGUGGUGCUUUUGACUAUUAGUUUAUGUCAACACUUCAAAACAAGAUGAGCCAGUUUUUUUUUGUUUUUUUUUUUUGUUUGUUUGUUUGUUUUAGACGGAGUCUCACCCUGUCACCCAGGCUGGAGUGCAAUGGCACUGUCCCCGCUCACUGCAACCUCCGCCUCCCGGGUUCAAGCAAUUCUGCCUCAGCCUUCCGAGUAGCUGGGAUUACAGGCGUGGCACCUCCACGCCCAGCUAAUUUCUGUAUUUUGUAGUAGAGACGGGGUUUCAUCAUGUUGGCCAGGCUUGUCUCGAACUGCUGACCCCGUGAUCCACCCACCUCAGCCUCCCAAAGUGCUGGGAUUACAGGCGUGAACCACCUCGCCUGGCCCAGUGAGCCAGUUUUGUAAAGCUAUUCAGAGAUUAGCCAGAUUUGAUUUGAUAGGGGAUCAAGCUUGUAGGAUCUUCAGGAAGGCGGGCUGUGGCCCCUUGAUCAGGCUUUUUGCACAGGAGGUGCAUGACUAUGAACUACCCUCAGUAGAACUCUUUUAAGCCAGUGGCUUGCAAUAAAUGAUGGCAAAUCAGCCACCUAGGAAGCCAUUUCUAAGCCCAACCCCCUGCCACAGUCUUCCUCUAGAUGGCUGCCCUGCCCAGUGGGCUGAGAGUGGGGGGCGGAAGUAGCAUUUGCUGGGAAGACUUGCCAGUACAUAUGUUGCACCCCCUCACUGCAGCUGCAGUGCUAUUUCAGGCUGUUGAUGGAAGAACCCAUGUUCUAAUCCCCAGGAUGUGGUGGGAAGACCCUAAGUGGUGGUGUUAGUUAAGACCCUAAGUUAUAUUGUUUUGUUCACUUCCCACUGAGAUAGGCUACAAUAGUAUUAAAUACCUAUAGGUCAGACAUUUUUGGGGUCUGUUGUACUACCUACCAAUUAAACAGUUUUUGAUCCGCCCACCACGCUCAAAGCUCCAGCCUAGGUGUUGCAAAUACAGACGACAGAUUUUUGCUCUCAGGAGGCCCUGAUUCCAGUCCUCAAACGAUUACAGAUUCCAGAAGCCUGCAAUCAGCUCACUGGACUGCAAGGGCCACCCGCCCUCUCAGAAGCGCCGGGAGAGAACAGGUUUUCUUGCCUUCUUCAGCUGCUAGAGCUGCGUUCUUUGGCUUGCACCCCCUUCCUCUGUCUUCCAAGCCAGCGGGGCAGUCUUUUGCUUCAGUGGCCAUGUUGUCUUCUGGCACAGUCACAUCUCCCCCUGCCUCCCUCUUAGAAGGACCCUUGUGGUUACAUUUAGGGCCCCCACCUGGAUAAUCCAGGAUAAUCUCCCUAUUUCAAUUUUCUUAAUCUCAUCUGUAAAGACCCUUUUGCCAUAUAAAGUAACAUUCACAGGUUCCAGGUAUUAGGACUUGGAUAUCUUUAGAGGCCAUCAUACAGCCCACCACAAACAGCUCCUUAGGCACUCAUUAGAAAUGCAGAACCUCAGGCCCCAACCGAUACCUUUUGAAUCUUCUGAUUCUAAUUUAAGAAGAUCACCAUGUAACUCACUAGCACACUAAGACUUGAGAAGCACGAUGCUAUGGGAACCUAACCAAAGAAUUCUCAAGUCCCAACUUAAAUACAAAUUUACAGAGUAUUUUUCCUAGGAACGCUUUCAGGUGGAGGAGAUUAAUCAGACGAUAGAUAAUUUUCCUGAACACCAUUCUGAAGUGCUUCUCUAAGCAUUUGUUCCUGAAUUCUCUCUCAAUGAAGCCACAAGCCCCAAACACCAGGAUUACUGUUUACAGGGGUUCCUGUUUACAGUAGUUUAGCACAGGGUUUGCCACACUGCAGCAUAUUAUUAUAGUUUAGUUUUGUAAAAAGCUACAUGAGAGAGGUAAAUCUUAUAAAUGGAGGUGGAGUCUCCUAACACCAGUUUUACCACCUCUGUACAGGUUUCCCUGGGCUAUGUACUAUCGAAUCAGGAAUCAGGAAGGGCGGCUUUUUCAAAUGUUAUCUAUACUUUUGGCAAUUUGUUCAAACGUUCUGCUGGUAUGUGAGAGGGAAGGAAAAAUUGUUUAUUGACCACAGAUCCACAAUAUUAUACUUCUCCUAUACUUAAGCAAUAAGGGACAGCAUUUAAAACUCUUUUAAAAAUGUUAAUCUUGGCUGGGCACAGUGGCUCAUGCCUGGAUCCCCAGUAAUUUGGAACACUGAGGCAGGCAGAUUGCUUGAGGCCAGGAGUUCGAGACUAGCUUGGGCAACAUGCGAGAGCCCGUCUCUACAAAAAAAAAAAAAAAAUACAAAAAUUAUCCAGGCAUGGUGGUGCACACCUGUAGUCCCAGCUGUUGGGGAAAGCUAAGUUGGGAGGAUCCCUUGAACCCAGGAGGUUGAGGCUGCAGUAAGCUGUGAUUGAGCCACUGAGCUCCAGCCUGGGUGACAGAGCGAGAUCCUGUGUCAAAAAAUAAUUUUGAUUUCACGGAAGGAGAAGAGGACUAGUCUUAUACCAUAUCCCAAAUGAAAUUGAAAAUGUCUUCUGGGAAUCACAGCAAUGACUCAAACUUCUGAAUAGUGACUAGGUUUGAGCUGGUAAGGAAGGGAUUGUCAAAUGCCGUGACAGUCCACAGGAGGGCAGCAGUGCUCCGAUUUACAAAGGAUUAGUCAUACUAGUGUAACCUUUUCUGAGUGAGCCUAGAAAUUCUGAUGAAAACAGUGUAGUCCAGGAAAAAAAAAAAAAAAAUCUGUAUGUACAAUCACUCAAUUUUGAAUCAUUUCUGGAAGUUAUUAGACUCCAUGUUAAAUCCUACUUAAGUACAAGUAUGCAAAAUUUAAAAAUAUGCAGAAAAGCUCAUUCUUGGUUAAAAUGUUAGCUGAAAGACAUUACUAAGUUUUAGAAUACCAUAGAGUUGACUAUUUCCCACAAACCCUAAAAUCUACUUGAACACCACAAAUUCAUAUUCCUUCUAAUCCCAAGUCCCUUCAGCAUUCUUACAGAUUUAUUGUUAGUUACCUUACAAAGUAACUAACUGUCCCCAUGUAUUUUAUCCCAAUUUAAAAAAUACAUUACAGUCUCAAGGUCACAUAAGAUUUUCCAAAAUGCUCUAUUCAUAGUCAAUAUAAUUUUCAGGCCGGGUGCGGUGGCUCAUGCCUGUAAUCCCAGCACUUUGGGAGGCCAAGGUGGGCGGAUCACCUGAGGUUGGGAGUUCGAGACCAGCCUGACCAACAUGGAGAAACCCCGUCUCUACUAAAAAUACAAAAUUAGCCAGACGCGGUGGUGCAUGCCUGUAAUCCCAGCUACUCAGGAGGCUGAGUCAGGAGAAUCGCUUGAACCCAGAAGGUGGAAGCUGUGGUGAGCCGAGAUAGUGCCAUUGCACUCCAGCCUGGGCAACAAGAUCGAAACUCCAUCUCAAAAUAUGUGUGUGUGUGUGUGUGUGUGUGUGUGUGUGUGUGUAUAUAUAUAUAUAUAUAUAUACACACACACACAUAUAUAUAUAAUUUUCACCUAGUGUUUUAUUAAACAGAAUGCUUCUGUAUUUUUAUGUUUAUUUGAGACAAUGCUUCUGUAUUUCUAAACAACAGCUAGCCUUGUUCAGUUAGCCAAACAACAAAACCUUAAUUCAAGUCUUCAAUGAAAUUUUCUGAUUUAAUAGGCUGAAUUAAGAAAGCCAUAAUUUUCUUCUAUAAAUAUAAGCCUUUAACUUCUAUCUUUACAAGUUUAUAUAGAAAAAUUUACUGUGGGGCUUGAGAUUUACUAAUGCAUGGGUUUUCAACCUUAGCUGCACUUUGGAAUCAUUUAGGACGCUUGGAAAUCCCUACACCCAAACCACAUCCCAGAUCAAUUACACUAGAAAUCUCUAGGGGUGGGACCCAGGUGUCUGUAAAUAUCCCCCGGUGAUUGCAAUGUGCAGCCAUGGUUGAGAAACACUGAAGCCUGCUCUGAGAAAUUUAGCAAUCCGACUUAAUUCAAAUCUGCAGAGAGAGCAACAAUGAUUUUUGCAGAAACAACCAAAUCCUACUAGUUACAUAAAUUUUAUACUUUGUUAGGACUUGGGUUUUUAUUUAGCUCUACAUAUGCGAUCAUAGGAUGCAGAAGAUAUAUCUUCUACUGGACACGUAUAUAUAGAUGCUUAAAUGUGGCUAUCCCAAGGUUAGGUAAUAAUAAAGACUAUAAGAGCUGGGCAGAAAUCAGGCACAGUUUCAUGAAGGGUAAUAUCUGAGCUGGGCCUUGGAAGAUGCAUAGGAUCUCAACAGGACAGUAGGUGUUUCAAGCAACAAUGAACUAGGAAUACAGCAGAAAGCACAGGGGAAAUGGUCAGGCUUGACUGAGAGUAGGUUAUUUGAAGAAGUGCAAUAGAAAAUGCUUGGGGAAGAAAGUUGGGAUUUAAUUGUAAAAGGUCUUCAAGUAUCAGGCUAAGAAAUGUGGACUUCAUCCAGUAGGUAAUGUGAUGUCACUGGAUAUCUGUGCAGUAUCUAUGUGAUGGGUUGGGAGUGGAGAAGCCUGGGGAUACUUAAGGGUCUGAGCUAGGAGGGACAGGAGGAAUGGCUGUGGGAGUGGAAUGGUUAGAAGAUGGGCCCAAUUAGAAACAUACUUCAAUUUGAGACAAAACCCACUAGAAAUAAACACAUCAUCAUGAAACAUCUCCAAAUGUACAAU